CCUACUAAAAUGCUCAUUUGUGUGUGGACCCCCAAAUGUUAAAUUAAAUCAAGGCUACUCGCGGUCUGCUGCUAUUGCCCGCCAGGUUUUUUGCAUUUAUUUUCACGUGUAGCUGAUCCACUGUACUGAGAAGUGCUAGCUUCCUGUUAUUAACAAACCAACUUGGGGCGGCUGCAAAACAGCCUGUGACAUUCUGUGCAUUAUAAACAGUAGUAAGUCACUGGAGUAAUUGGCUGAAGAAUUUACAAUCCAUUGUUUUGGAAUCUUGUUCUUCCUCCAUGGCAAAGGAAGAAAAGGAGAAAGAGAGAGCGAGAGACAAGAAUGGAAAUGAUGAUUUGUAUACACGUUGUCCUUCUGGGAAGUUUGGGAGACUGGCUGAUGUGUUUGCUGAGGACCAGAGUUGGGGAUGGAAGGUGAACAAAGAGACUCAAUGAUGGUCAUUGUGCUUGAGACAUGGCAUUGGAAACCAAAAGAGUACACUGUAGGUGCUAAAUAAACCAAGAUGCUCGGAGCUGAAGAAAGCAAGUUGAGUGGGGCUGUCCCCUCUACCCAGACCCCUGUUACCCCUGUGGAUGCCUUUGCAAGCCCCUGGGCAGUACCCAGGCAGCAUCAGGACGGCUGCCUGCCGCCUUCGGUCCUACCGCCCCACCUCCAGCAGCCCAGAACCCU
rnacentral:lncRNA from 1 species